rnacentral:rRNA from 1 species
CCUGUGGGAAGCAGGAGGGACCACCCUCCAAGGCUAAAUACUACCUAGUGACCGAUAGCGUAUAGUACCGUGAGGGAAAGGUGAAAAGAACCCCGGGAGGGGAGUGAAAUAGAACCUGAAACCCUGCACUUACAAGCUGUGGAAGCACAUUUCUUGUGUGACCGCGUACUUUUUGUAGAACGGGCCAACGAGUUACGUUAAGUAG